rnacentral:tRNA from 1 species
GGGGGUAUAGCUCAGUUGGGAGAGCACCUGCCUUGCAAGCAGGGGGUCAAGGGUUCGAAUCCCUUUAUCUCCACCA